UACGGAGGGUGCAAGCGUUAUCCGGAUUCACUGGGUUUAAAGGGUACGUAGGCGGGCUUUUAAGUCAGUGGUGAAAUCCUACCGCUUAACGGUAGAACUGCCAUUGAAACUGAGAGUCUUGAGUAUGAUCGAGGUAAGCGGAAUGUAACAUGUAGCGGUGAAAUGCAUAGAUAUGUUACAGAACACCAAUAGCGAAGGCAGCUUACCAGGUCAUUACUGACGCUGAUGUACGAAAGCGUGGGUAGCGAAC
rnacentral:rRNA from 1 species